rnacentral:ribozyme from 13 species
AAAAAAAACUUCAAAAAAAAAAAAAAAGAAAAGAAUAGAAAACAGCCACUUUUAAAAUAUAAGUUACACACCAAAAAACAAUCUUUUCUUUCCCCCCCUCGUUUCUGCUUGUUGUUACUUCUUCUUUUUGUACUCUUCACAA